rnacentral:rRNA from 1 species
GCCUCAGAUUAAUUAUGUGAGGUAUUGCCUGCUCAAUGCAAAAAGUAAAUAGCCGCAGUAUUCUGACUGUGCGAAGGUAGCAUAAUAAAUUGGUCUUUAAUUGGGAUCUAGAAUGAAUGGCUUGACAAGGGUUUAACUGUCUCAGAUGAAGUAAUUUUGAAAUUGAAUUAUCUGUAAAAAUGCAGAUAUAAUUGAGAGGGACGAGAAGACCCUAUAGAUCUUUAAAUGAAUUAAUUAAUUUAUGAUUUUGUUAAUUAGUAGUUCAUUUUAUUUGGGGAAAAUCCGGAAAUGUUUAUACAAACUUCGGUUAAAUAGAGGAAAAGACAGGAAUUGUUGAUCUUUGAUCCACAAAAUAAAGUGAAAAAAUGAAAAAGUUACCUUAGGGAUAACAGGACAAUGAUUUUCUGAGAGGUCUUAUCUUUGAAAACGUUUGUUACCUCGAUGUUGAAUUAAGUUAUCUUAUUAAAGGAGACAUUUUUAUAGUUGGUCUGUUCGACCAUUAAAAAC